ensembl:lncRNA
AAAAUGCCUCCCAGCCUAUACCCUGAAGGCCAUGUUCAGCCUAAUCACCUACAUUUCAAACAUACUUACGGUGUUUUGAAAGAGAACUGAAAUCCAGAAUUAUGACCACGAGACCCUAAACAAUCCUAAACAAGAAAUAAAAACUCUGUUAUAUAAAGGGUCAUGAACAAAAUCAAAAACUAAAAUACCUUUUUGAAAAUUAAUUGGUCACAACUAUUUCCUAUCAACUCUUUCCUCACUUAUUUCAAAGUCUCUGUAAUGUGAAUUUGGCAAAAUCAAAGUAAACUAUGCAAAAGAAACUAACUGGCAUCAAGUGAAUCCCAUGGCACAUUUCUCUGUUUUCUCUUCAGAUUUUGCAAGUACCUCUGCUGGGGCCUGUACUCCUGGAACUGAAGAGUCUGAGCUCAAGGUAACAUGCAUCAUUACCUCCCUCAGUUACUGGUUGCCCUGCAGUUUUUCUCUACGCAAGAUUCCUGACCUACUGGGCAUGGACAAAGCCUGAAAGACAUUGUAAAGAAUUUGCCCAACAACCAUUUCAAUCAAAUGUUCUGUUUAAUGUUUUCAAAGUCCAAAUUAACCAGUUAUCUAGAUUGAUUGUUUUGCAUUUGUAUCUAGGGAGGAAGUGUUGGUGGCGAACUCUUUUAUUUACUGUAAUAAACUGGGCAAAAAUCUUAUAGUAUUGUUUCAGCUAAUACAAUCUUCUAUUUCAUGCAUGUAGUCUGGCAUUUUCAAACCACUUCACUGAAUCUUGGAGACCUUUUUCCAAUUUGCUUUUCUCAUCAAGCUCUACCUACAAGAACUGCCUGGUGUUCAGCGUUUAGAUGUUUUUGAGCAAUUUUAAAGAAAAACAGCAAAGGAGAUUCUCUUUCCGAGAGGUACUUAUGGGUCCUUGGGUCAGAUGGAAUCGUGGGCCCCGCAGCCACUCUGCAGUGCUGAGACUCGUGUGCCUGUGUUGUCCUGCAUUCAUGCAGCUCGUAUCUCUGGAUGCCAGACACUGCAAUUUCAGGAGGGUAAAAACAAGACUGUUAAGUAAGAGGUAAUGUCUAUUGGAAAGAACAAUUCAGCGACUUUAUGCGAUGAUGAGUUCUGGGUUAAUUUUAACAUGGCAGGGAAAAAAAUGAUCUAGCCAUGCAUGAUAAAACUACUUUGACAGCUCACUGGAAGUUUAGUAGGUAGGGGCUGGCAGCAACCUAAACAUAGUCGGCUGCAUGAAAAGAGAGCCAGGCAUACGCCUACUUCUGGAGAAGCAUGGAUACCCAAAGGAUAAAGUCACUACUGCCCAAAUACCCUAGCAGAAGACAAGACAAGACCAUGGCCAUGGCCUGUGCGGUGAAGGCAUCUGGCUAAUUUAGGGACAACCAAGCCAUUUAUGAGUCAUGUUAUAUCAUCACUAUAUAUGUAUGGGCAAGUGCACAUACCUGAACAAUUUGGCUAUUAGAAAAUAUAUGAUAAAAUAAAAUUAAGGAUCGCUGAUAUCCCUUUAGCUCU